rnacentral:rRNA from 1 species
UUGACCUCGGAUCAGGUAGGACUACCCGCUGAACUUAAGCAUAUCAAUAAGCGGAGGAAAAGAAACCAACAGGGAUUGCCCCAGUAACGGCGAGUGAAGCGGCAACAGCUCAGAUUUGGAAUCUGGCCCCCAGGGCCCGAGUUGUAAUCUGGAGAGGAUGCUUCUGGCGCGGCGCCUUCCGAGUUCCCUGGAACGGGACGCCGGAGAGGGUGAGAGCCCCGUACGGUUGGACGCCUAGCCUUUGUGAAGCUCCUUCGACGAGUCGAGUAGUUUGGGAAUGCUGCUCAAAAUGGGAGGUAAAUUUCUUCUAAAGCUAAAUACCGGCCAGAGACCGAUAGCGCACAAGUAGAGUGAUCGAAAGAUGAAAAGCACUUUGAAAAGAGGGUCAAACAGUACGUGAAAUUGUUGAAAGGGAAGCGCCCGUGGCCAGACUUGUGCCCCGCGGACCACCCGGCGCCCUCAGCGCCGGUGCACUCCGCGGGGCGCAGGCCAGCAUCGGUUUUCCUAGGGGGAUAAAGGCGGCGGGAACGUGGCUCCUUCGGGAGUGUUAUAGCCCGUCGUGCCAUGCCCCUGGGGGGACCGAGGACCGCGCUUCGGCAAGGAUGCUGGCGUAAUGGCCACCGGCGACCCGUCUUGA